AAACAAUGAGAUUGAUUUGUAAGCAAGAAUAAUGCCAAAGGAACUAUGGGUGCUGUGAGUGUUUUAAACAGAAUCUGUAAAACUUGUCCUCAGCACUACACAAUGUCUGAACAGACUGGAAAUCUACCUAGGCAAGGAGAGUCUACAGCA